rnacentral:rRNA from 1 species
GACGAACGCUGGCGGCGUGCUUAACACAUGCAAGUCGAACGAUAAUGCCCAGCUUGCUGGGUGGAUUAGUGGCGAACGGGUGAGUAACACGUGAGUAACCUGCCCCUGACUCUGGGAUAAGCGUUGGAAACGACGUCUAAUACUGGAUAUGACUGCCGGCCGCAUGGUCUGGUGGUGGAAAGAUUUUUUGGUUGGGGAUGGACUCGCGGCCUAUCAGCUUGUUGGUGGGGUAAUGGCUCACCAAGGCGACGACGGGUAGCCGGUCUGAGAGGGUGACCGGCCACACUGGGACUGAGACACGGCCCAGACUCCUACGGGAGGCAGCAGUGGGGAAUAUUGCACAAUGGGCGAAAGCCUGAUGCAGCAACGCCGCGUGAGGGAUGACGGCCUUCGGGUUGUAAACCUCUUUUAGUAGGGAAGAAGCGAAAGUGACGGUACCUGCAGAAAAAGCACCGGCUAACUACGUGCCAGCCGCCGCAGUAAUAC